GACGAACGCUGGCGGCGUGCCUAAUACAUGCAAGUCGAACGCACUCUCGUUUAGAUUGAAGGAGCUUGCUCCUGAUUGAUAAACAUUUGAGUGAGUGGCGGACGGGUGAGUAACACGUGGGUAACCUGCCCUAAAGUGGGGGAUAACAUUUGGAAACAGAUGCUAAUACCGCAUAAAACCUAAACACCGCAUGGUGUAGGGUUGAAAGAUGGUUUCGGCUAUCACUUUAGGAUGGACCCGCGGUGCAUUAGUUAGUUGGUGAGGUAAAGGCUCACCAAGACCGUGAUGCAUAGCCGACCUGAGAGGGUAAUCGGCCACACUGGGACUGAGACACGGCCCAGACUCCUACGGGAGGCAGCAGUAGGGAAUCUUCCACAAUGGACGAAAGUCUGAUGGAGCAACGCCGCGUGAGUGAAGAA
rnacentral:rRNA from 1 species